rnacentral:rRNA from 1 species
CUAAUACCGGAUAAGAAAGCGGAUCGCAUGAUCAGCUUUUAAAAGGCGGCGUAAGCUGUCGCUAUGGGAUGGCCCCGCGGUGCAUUAGCUAGUUGGUAAGGUAAAGGCUUACCAAGGCGAUGAUGCAUAGCCGAGUUGAGAGACUGAUCGGCCACAUUGGGACUGAGACACGGCCCAAACUCCUACGGGAGGCAGCAGCC